GACGAACGCUGGCGGCGUGCUUAACACAUGCAAGUCGAACGGUGACGAGGAGCUUGCUCCUCUGAUCAGUGGCGAACGGGUGAGUAACGCGUGAGCAACCUGACUCUUAGAGGGGGAUAACACCCGGAAACGAGUGCUAAUACCGCAUAAGACCACGACAUGGCAUCAUGACGAGGUCAAAGGAGCAAUCCGCUGAGAGAGGGGCUCGCGUCCCAUUAGAUAGAUGGCGGGGUAACGGGCCCACCAUGUCAACGAUGGGUAGCCGAGCUGAGAGGCUGAUCGGCCACACUGGAACUGAGACACGGUCCAGACUCCUACGGGAGGCAGCAGUGGGGAAUAUUGGGCAAUGGGCGCAAGCCUGACCCAGCAACGCCGCGUGAGGGAAGAAGGCUUUCGGGUUGUAAACCUCUGUCCUUGGUGACGAAACAAAUGACGGUAGCCAAGGAGGAAGCCCCGGCUAACUACGUGCCAGCAGCCGCGGUAAAACGUCUA
rnacentral:rRNA from 1 species